UCCCUACGGGACGCAGCAGUGAGAAAUAUUGGUCAAUGGUCGGGAGACUGAACCAGCCAAGCCGCGUGAGGGAGGAAGGUACAGAGUAUCGUAAACCUCUUUUGUCAGGGAACAAAGGCGGGGACGUGUCCCCGGAUGAGUGUACCUGAAGAAAAAGCAUCGGCUAGCUCCGUGCCAGCAGCCGCGGUAAUACGGAGGAUGCGAGCGUUAUCCGGAUUUAUUGGGUUUAAAGGGUGCGCAGGCGGUCUGUUAAGUCAGCGGUCAAAGCCCGGGGCUCAACCCCGUCCCUCCGUUGAAACUGCAAG
rnacentral:rRNA from 1 species